CAAAGUGCUUACAGUGCAGGUAGUGAUUUAACAGAACCUACUGCAGUGAAGGCACUUGUAG
rnacentral:pre_miRNA from 1 species